GAGUAAACUGUAUGUGAAGUAAAUGUUAUAUGAUAAUUGAUAUGAUGCAUGCAACAAAUAUAGCCACUUACUGUUCCAUGCGUUAAAGAAAUCAUGUGUGACAGAACAAACAAACAAAACAGCAGACUGUCACUGUACCAAAGCGCACAAUGUGUCUUGGUUAUGGCACUUGAGUAGAUUCCUUUGAAUUUCCCAGUUCACUCCAGGAAGGUUUCAGUCCCUUCCAACUUUAUACUGUCACUUGCACACCUUGGGAACAAUGACAAAAAGAAA
rnacentral:lncRNA from 1 species